UCCCUGGUUGUCUAGUGGUAAGGAUUGAUUGCUCUCAUCGCGCUUACGGCCGGGUUCCAUUCCCGGUCAGGAAU